GAUUCUGGCUCAGGAUGAACGCUAGCGGCAGGCUUAACACAUGCAAGUCGAGGGGCAGCGGGAUGUAGCAAUACAUUGCCGGCGACCGGCGGAUGGGUGCGUAACGCGUAUGCAACCUACCUUAUACAGGGGAAUAACCUUUCGAAAGGGAGACUAACACCCCAUAGUAUUGAUUUAAGGCAUCUUAGAUUAAUUAAAUAUUUAUAGGUAUAAGAUGGGCAUGCGUAUGAUUAGCUAGUUGGUAAGGUAACGGCUUACCAAGGCGACGAUCAUUAGGGGUUCUGAGAGGAAGGUCCCCACACUGGUACUGAGACACGGACCAGACUCCUACGGGAGGCAGCAGUGAGGAAUAUUGGUCAAUGGGCGCAAGCCUGAACCAGCCAUGCCGCGUGCAAGGAAGACGGCCUUAUGGGUUGUAAACUGCUUUUACAUAAGACUAACCGUAUAUUUGCGAAUAUACCUGAAUGUAUUAUGAGAAUAAGGAUCGGCUAACUCCGUGCCAGCAGCAGC
rnacentral:rRNA from 1 species